rnacentral:pre_miRNA from 1 species
CAGCUGUGGGACCACAGAAGGCAGGAUCAGUGAAGACCUCCACCAUGGCCUGGUCUCCUCUCCUCCUCACCCUCCUCGCUCACUUCACAGGUGA